GAUGAACGCUGGCGGCGUGCCUAAUACAUGCAAGUCGAGCGAACAGAUGAGGAGCUUGCUCCUCUGACGUUAGCGGCGGACGGGUGAGUAACACGUGGAUAACCUACCUAUAAGACUGGGAUAACUUCGGGAAACCGGAGCUAAUGCCGGAUAAUAUAUUGAACCGCAUGGUUCAAUAGUGAAAGACGGUUUUGCUGUCACUUAUAGAUGGAUCCGCGCCGCAUUAGCUAGUUGGUAAGGUAACGGCUUACCAAGGCAACGAUGCGUAGCCGACCUGAGAGGGUGAUCGGCCACACUGGAACUGAGACACGGUCCAGACUCCUACGGGAGGCAACAGUAGGGAAUCUUCCGCAAUGGGCGGAAGCCUGACGGAGCAACGCCGCGUGAGUGAUGAAGGUCUUCGGAUCGUAAAACUCUGUUAUUAGGGAAGAACAAAUGUGUAAGUAACUAUGCACGUCUUGACGGUACCUAAUCAGAAAGCCACGGCUAACUACGUG
rnacentral:rRNA from 1 species